UACGGAGGGUGCAAACGUUGCUCGGAAUCAUUGGGCGUAAAGCGCACGUAGGCGGUUUGUUAUGUCGGAUGUGAAAGCCCUCGGCUUAACCGAGGAAGUGCAUCCGAAACUGGCAAGCUUGAGUACAGAAGAGGGUCUCGGAAUUCCCGGUGUAGAGGUGAAAUUCGUAGAUAUCGGGAGGAACACCAGUGGCGAAGGCGACUUCCUGGCCUGUUCUUGACGCUGAGGCGCGAAAGCUAGGGGAGCAAACGGG
rnacentral:rRNA from 1 species